GAUGAAGAACGCAGCGAAAUGCGAUAAGUAAUGUGAAUUGCAGAAUUCAGUGAAUCAUCGAAUCUUUGAACGCACAUUGCGCCCGCCAGUAUUCUGGCGGGCAUGCCUGUUCGAGCGUCAUUACAACCCUCAGGCCCCCGGGCCUGGCGUUGGGGAUCGGCGGAGCCCCCCGUGGGCACACGCCGUCCCCCAAAUACAGUGGUGGUCCCGCCGCAGCUUCCAUCGCGUAGUAGCUAACACCUCGCGACUGGAGAGCGGCGCGGCCACGCCGUAAAACACCCAACUCUUCUGAAGUUGACCUCGAAUCAGGUAGGAAUACCCGCUGAACUUAAGCAUAUCAAUAAGCGGACGA
rnacentral:misc_RNA from 1 species